rnacentral:tRNA from 1 species
GUGCCCGUAGCUCAAUUGGACAGAGUAUCUGGCUUCGAACCAGAAGGUUGCAGGUUCGAGUCCUGCCGGGCACG